AGUGAACGCUGGCGGUAGGCCUAACACAUGCAAGUCGAACGGCAGCACAGUAAGAGCUUGCUCUUACGGGUGGCGAGUGGCGGACGGGUGAGGAAUACAUCGGAAUCUACUUUUUCGUGGGGGAUAACGUAGGGAAACUUACGCUAAUACCGCAUACGACCUACGGGUGAAAGCAGGGGAUCCUCGGACCUUGCGCGAUUGAAUGAGCCGAUGUCGGAUUAGCUAGUUGGCGGGGUAAAGGCCCACCAAGGCGACGAUCCGUAGCUGGUCUGAGAGGAUGAUCAGCCACACUGGAACUGAGACACGGUCCAGACUCCUACGGGAGGCAGCAGUGGGGAAUAUUGGACAAUGGGCGCAAGCCUGAUCCAGCCAUACCGCGUGGGUGAAGAAGGCCUUCGGGUUGUAAAGCCCUUUUGUUGGGAAAGAAAAGCAGCAGGUUAAUACCCCGCUGUUCUGACGGUACCCAAAGAAUAAGCACCGGCUAACCUCGUG
rnacentral:rRNA from 1 species